rnacentral:misc_RNA from 1 species
UGCCUGAUGGUAAGGUUUGCAACCUGCAUAAUGAAUAAUUCAAAAAAUAUUGUGCCCUAAGUAGAGAGAUAAAUCUUUAAUAUUUGUUUCUCAAAUUGAGAGAGGAGAGGUAAGGAAAUCUGCAAAUCCUUGAAACUAGAUAACAUCUAUUUUACUGUAGCAUCCACUUGUUCUCCAAAGUCCAAACAGCAAAAACCAGUCAUUUCAGAAUUUCAAACAGAUUCUUUGAUGUUACUAUUUGAAAUGAGAUGGGUUAUCUGCGCCAACUGUCCCUUAACUUUAGAGGUGAUUUCAUUUCAGUAACCAAAUUUCAAUUUGUUAAAAUAAAAUCCCUUAACUCUAUUUUAAUUGCAGAAAAAACCCAUCUAUCCUUCUAUAACUUCCAUCUAGCCUUCUAUAACAGGUUCUCUGAUUGCAAUCCACCCCUCUCUUUGUUCUCUCUCUCUCAUCUAUAUAUAAACUAUCAAUUUUCUCUGCCUUGACGCCAUCCCUUGUUCCUCCUCCUCAUCCUUUUCCCUCUCCCUCACAGCCAACAUGUCUCUAAUCCCAAAAAGCUCACCACGCUAGAUUCUACCCCGACUGAAGCCAACAAAUCCGAGCAAUUCCCAUGAGUGUCAAAUGUCCCAAUUGAGCAAUGCCCAAGGAAGAAUUAGCCAGCAGAUUUCUGCCAUAAAUUCCAACCGAUUAGUUUUAGCUUAUUUCUCAAUUAUCAUUUUUGUGUUUUCAUGUUUUGGUUCAUUUGCAUUUGAGGCAGCAGAGGAGUUUGUCGGGUUGUGUUUUUUUUUUAUUUUUUUUCGGUUUUUGGAGCAGUAGUGGAGUUUGUCGGGUUGUUCCUAGGUUCCUGAGCUGAUUUUCUCCUCUUAUUUUGCUCUGUUUAUUGAUAACAUUUUCUGGCUUAUCAAAUAAAAAAAAUUAGAGAGAGAUAGCAAGAUCAGAAGAAAAAAGGAGACAGAGAUGAGAGGGAGAAGGAUUGCCCAAAAAAAGAGAUGGGUGGAUUGUAAUUGGGAAACCUAUAUAGAAGGUCGGAGGGACUUUUUUUGCCAUUAAAAUAAAAUUGAGUUAUUUUAUUUUAACAUAGAAAAAGUUGGGUGGCUAAAAUGAAAUAGCACCCACAGUUGAGGGACAUUUAGUGCAAUUAAUCCAAUGAGACAGCUAUGUAUAAAGGGUUUGUCAAUGUCUACUUAAGUCGAGCAUCUAAUAAAAGACCAUUUCCUACAAAGUCAUAAGUGCAGAUAGAGUCCAGGUUCAAGUUUAGUACUCUCUUCUUGUACCCCGACCCAAAAAAAGAGGCCUCACGUGGGCAUAGUAAUUUAAUAAAAUAAUAAAAAAGGAAAUUAUGGUUGCUAUUCAAAAUUUGAGCUUUAGCUGUAGGUUUAAUAAAGUAAAUCACAUACCAUUAGACAUGUGAUGGUGACA